rnacentral:rRNA from 1 species
UACGUAGGGUGCGAGCGUUGUCCGGAAUUAUUGGGCGUAAAGAGCUCGUAGGCGGCUUGUCGCGUCGGAUGUGAAAGCCCGGGGCUUAACUCCGGGUCUGCAUUCGAUACGGGCAGGCUAGAGUUCGGUAGGGGAGAUCGGAAUUCCUGGUGUAGCGGUGAAAUGCGCAGAUAUCAGGAGGAACACCGGUGGCGAAGGCGGAUCUCUGGGCCGAUACUGACGCUGAGGAGCGAAGGCAUGGGGAGCGAACAGG